rnacentral:tRNA from 1 species
UGUGAUAUAGCCCAGUGGUAGAGCACUUGCCUAGCAUGCAUUAAUUCCUGGGUUUGAUUCCCAGCACUGCAA